UUAAGCGACUAAGCGUACACGGUGGAUGCCCUGGCAGUCAGAGGCGAUGAAGGACGUGCUAAUCUGCGAUAAGCGUCGGUGAGGUGAUAUGAACCGUUAUAACCGGCGAUUUCCGAAUGGGGAAACCCAGUGUGUUUCGACACACUAUCAUUAACUGAAUCCAUAGGUUAAUGAGGCGAACCGGGGGAACUGAAACAUCUAAGUACCCCGAGGAAAAGAAAUCAACCGAGAUUCCCCCAGUAGCGGCGAGCGAACGGGGAGGAGCCCAGAGCCUGAAUCAGUGUGUGUGUUAGUGGAAGCGUCUGGAAAGGCGCGCGAUACAGGGUGGCAGCCCCGUACACAAAAAUGCACAUAUUGUGAGCUCGAUGAGUAGGGCGGGACACGUGGUAUCCUGUCUGAAUAUGGGGGGACCAUCCUCCAAGGCUAAAUACUCCUGACUGACCGAUAGUGAACCAGUACCGUGAGGGAAAGGCGAAAAAGAACCCCGGCGAGGGGAGUGAAAAAGAACCUGAAACCGUGUACGUACAAGCAGUGGGAGCCUCUUAAUGGGGUGACUGCGUACCUUUUGUAUAAUGGGUCAGCGACUUAUAUUCUGUAGCAAGGUUAACCGAAUAGGGGAGCCGAAGGGAAACCGAGUCUUAACUGGGCGUUAAGUUGCAGGGUAUAGACCCGAAACCCGGUGAUCUAGCCAUGGGCAGGUUGAAGGUUGGGUAACACUAACUGGAGGACCGAACCGACUAAUGUUGAAAAAUUAGCGGAUGACUUGUGGCUGGGGGUGAAAGGCCAAUCAAACCGGGAGAUAGCUGGUUCUCCCCGAAAGCUAUUUAGGUAGCGCCUCGUGAAUUCAUCUCCGGGGGUAGAGCACUGUUUCGGCAAGGGGGUCAUCCCGACUUACCAACCCGAUGCAAACUGCGAAUACCGGAGAAUGUUAUCACGGGAGACACACGGCGGGUGCUAACGUCCGUCGUGAAGAGGGAAACAACCCAGACCGCCAGCUAAGGUCCCAAAGUCAUGGUUAAGUGGGAAACGAUGUGGGAAGGCCCAGACAGCCAGGAUGUUGGCUUAGAAGCAGCCAUCAUUUAAAGAAAGCGUAAUAGCUCACUGGUCGAGUCGGCCUGCGCGGAAGAUGUAACGGGGCUAAACCAUGCACCGAAGCUGCGGCAGCGACACUAUGUGUUGUUGGGUAGGGGAGCGUUCUGUAAGCCUGUGAAGGUGGCCUGUGAGGGUUGCUGGAGGUAUCAGAAGUGCGAAUGCUGACAUAAGUAACGAUAAAGCGGGUGAAAAGCCCGCUCGCCGGAAGACCAAGGGUUCCUGUCCAACGUUAAUCGGGGCAGGGUGAGUCGACCCCUAAGGCGAGGCCGAAAGGCGUAGUCGAUGGGAAACAGGUUAAUAUUCCUGUACUUGGUGUUACUGCGAAGGGGGGACGGAGAAGGCUAUGUUGGCCGGGCGACGGUUGUCCCGGUUUAAGCGUGUAGGCUGGUUUUCCAGGCAAAUCCGGAAAAUCAAGGCUGAGGCGUGAUGACGAGGCACUACGGUGCUGAAGCGACAAAUGCCCUGCUUCCAGGAAAAGCCUCUAAGCAUCAGGUAACAUCAAAUCGUACCCCAAACCGACACAGGUGGUCAGGUAGAGAAUACCAAGGCGCUUGAGAGAACUCGGGUGAAGGAACUAGGCAAAAUGGUGCCGUAACUUCGGGAGAAGGCACGCUGAUAUGUAGGUGAAGCGACUUGCUCGUGGAGCUGAAAUCAGUCGAAGAUACCAGCUGGCUGCAACUGUUUAUUAAAAACACAGCACUGUGCAAACACGAAAGUGGACGUAUACGGUGUGACGCCUGCCCGGUGCCGGAAGGUUAAUUGAUGGGGUUAGCGGUAACGCGAAGCUCUUGAUCGAAGCCCCGGUAAACGGCGGCCGUAACUAUAACGGUCCUAAGGUAGCGAAAUUCCUUGUCGGGUAAGUUCCGACCUGCACGAAUGGCGUAAUGAUGGCCAGGCUGUCUCCACCCGAGACUCAGUGAAAUUGAACUCGCUGUGAAGAUGCAGUGUACCCGCGGCAAGACGGAAAGACCCCGUGAACCUUUACUAUAGCUUGACACUGAACAUUGAGCCUUGAUGUGUAGGAUAGGUGGGAGGCUUUGAAGUGUGGACGCCAGUCUGCAUGGAGCCGGCCUUGAAAUACCACCCUUUAAUGUUUGAUGUUCUAACGUUGGCCCGUAAUCCGGGUUGCGGACAGUGUCUGGUGGGUAGUUUGACUGGGGCGGUCUCCUCCUAAAGAGUAACGGAGGAGCACGAAGGUUGGCUAAUCCUGGUCGGACAUCAGGAGGUUAGUGCAAUGGCAUAAGCCAGCUUGACUGCGAGCGUGACGGCGCGAGCAGGUGCGAAAGCAGGUCAUAGUGAUCCGGUGGUUCUGAAUGGAAGGGCCAUCGCUCAACGGAUAAAAGGUACUCCGGGGAUAACAGGCUGAUACCGCCCAAGAGUUCAUAUCGACGGCGGUGUUUGGCACCUCGAUGUCGGCUCAUCACAUCCUGGGGCUGAAGUAGGUCCCAAGGGUAUGGCUGUUCGCCAUUUAAAGUGGUACGCGAGCUGGGUUUAGAACGUCGUGAGACAGUUCGGUCCCUAUCUGCCGUGGGCGCUGGAGAACUGAGGGGGGCUGCUCCUAGUACGAGAGGACCGGAGUGGACGCAUCACUGGUGUUCGGGUUGUCAUGCCAAUGGCACUGCCCGGUAGCUAAAUGCGGAAGAGAUAAGUGCUGAAAGCAUCUAAGCACGAAACUUGCCCCGAGAUGAGUUCUCCCUGACCCUUUAAGGGUCCUGAAGGAACGUUGAAGACGACGACGUUGAUAGGCCGGGUGUGUAAGCGCAGCGAUGCGUUGAGCUAACCGGUACUAAUGAACCGUGAGGCUUAACCUU
rnacentral:rRNA from 1 species